rnacentral:rRNA from 1 species
AUACGGAGGAUCCGAGCGUUAUCCGGAUUUAUUGGGUUUAAAGGGUGCGCAGGCGGGAGAUUAAGUCGGCGGGGAAAUUUUGCAGCUCAACUGUAAAAGUGCCUUCGAUACUGGUUUCCUUGAGUGUGGAUGAAGUAGGCGGAAUUUGUGGUGUAGCGGUGAAAUGCUUAGAUAUCACGAGGAACUCCGAUUGCGCAGGCAGCUUACUAAACCACUACUGACGCUCAGGCACGAAGGCGUGGGGAUCAAACAGGAUUAGAUACCCUGGUAGUCCACGCAGUAAACGAUGAUUACUGGCUGUUUGCGAUGCAAUGUAAGCGGCUGAGCGAAAGCGUUAAGUAAUCCACCUGGGGAGUACGUUCGCAAGAAUGAAACUCAAAUGAAUUGACGGGG